UACGUAGGGCGCAAGCGUUGUCCGGAAUUAUUGGGCGUAAAGAGCUCGUAGGCGGUCUGUCACGUCUGCCGUGAAAACCCGAGGCUUAACCUCGUGGCUUGCGGUGGAUACGGGCAGACUAGAGGUAGGUAGGGGAGAAUGGAAUUCCCGGUGUAGCGGUGAAAUGCGCAGAUAUCGGGAGGAACACCGGUGGCGAAGGCGGUUCUCUGGGCCUUACCUGACGCUGAGGAGCGAAAGCGUAGGUAGCAAACGGG
rnacentral:rRNA from 1 species